GAAUGAAGCUUAAGAAAAGCUGUCUUUGGAUUGCUACUAAUAGUCAUCUUCAUCAUUCCUGCUCUCUCUCUCUCUCUUUCUCAGUUCCCUUAUGAAAUAAGGGCACACAGGUAAUAAACAAAGCACUAUAAAAGAUCGGAUUGAGGUCUUCUGUGGGCUCAGUGAAUGUCGGCAGCAAGCAUUCUGCACACCACCGCUGGCCCUGCGGAGUCCAAAGCUGGUUCAAGACUGAGGAAUAGUGGCGGGAUUAGGCUAGACCCCUUUGCCCCUUUUUACAACCUGGCGGAAUUUAUCAGGGCCGUGUCCUUGGUCAGCUAAUCCACACCUGAUGACCCAGGGACAGAGGAAAAGAGGGCAGGGUAGAGACCCUUGGAUUCGCUCAUUCGGAUUUUGGAUUCUGACCUGACUUUCUUUGUCAACCCUCAUGCCAGAUCCAGGUACGGGCGGUGGGACCCUUGGAAAUCUCCAAGGGCAACUGCGAGAGUCAUCUCUACCAGUAGUGCCUGCGGCUGGAGGACUGAUGCCAACAGAAGAAUCUGUAGUGUCUCACAAGCAAUGAGGCUAAAGAGUGUACCUAGUUUUUGGCACAGAACACAAAAGAAGACGUCACAGGAGAGAUGACUAAAUCUGCCCCUGGCCCCGAGAAAGUCUGGCCCAACAGCAAGAGGCCGGCACGAGCUCCAGCUGCCACUUCAAGUCUUUCUACUUGAUUGUGCUGUGGGCACACAGAACACAGAACUCCCCACUCCCGGCGGGGAGAGAACCUAGGACCGAGGGGGAUGGAGACUCUGGACAUGAGGUGUGCGGGGAGGAGUGGUCAGAGAAGGAGGAGACUCACUGGCGUUUUCUUUUUCCUCCAUUUUCCAAACAAAGACGCUCAAUGAGAACAUACAGCCCGCAAGAGGAGCGUGUUCCUUGCCGGACUUCUGGAGGCUGAUGGGAGAGAUUUAUGUAAACAAAUCAUUCAGUUCUUCCUUUGGUAACCUUGACCCCGAGAAUGAAUUUGAUGACCCUACAACUUUUGGUUCUCUCCAUCACUACAGAAGCUGCAGACGGGACUCAGAGGGACCUCACAAAAUGGAGGAAAGUUAAAGAGAGAAAUGGUCCAUGGUGUAUUCUCUUACCUGCCAUAAAUUGGCGUCAUUUUGGGCCACCCUCCAGGGGA